CCGUCCACCGAAAAUGCUGGGGAACCACAACAGCAAAAGACUAGCUUUCCAAGGCUGGCACUGGCCGCCUCUGCCGGCAACGGGGGCGGGGGGGGGGGCGGUUCUGCGUGGGGGUGCGCAGCGUCCAGUUACAUUCCUGACCCACUUUCGCAUUCCCUCCCUCCCCCUCCUCCUCCCCCUCUUUCUCCUCCUCCUGCCGGGCGGGCCGAGAGGGCACCCGCGCUCCGCAGAGACACCCGCGAGCCCUCCCUAAGCCGCCGCGGGCGGGGUGCACCAGGCGUCGGGCUCUGCGGGGGACCCGGAGGGAGGGAGGGAGCCCGCCCCCACCCCCGGCUUCCCCUGCGUGGCCCCUCCCUGGUCACAUGGGCUCGCGAGCACCUGUUGGCGACUUCGGCUCCUAGCGGAACCCCUCCCGCCGCCCAGACGAAGCCCCCUGCGGGAGAAGAUGGGAACGCUUCCCCGUGCACGUUCCGCAAACCCCGCGGGGGUGGGCGAGGGCGCCGGGGCCGGUGGGCGACGCCUGCCCGGUUGCUCAGCUUUGCAAAGUGCAAGAAGCACCACGGCAGCGCGGCGACUGGGUGGAGGGGAGCCUACCCCUCCCCCCCUCCUCCCAACCCCCGCCGAGCGGGGAGGUGGGGUGCGUCCGUCCCCAGCCCGACUCUGCUGGAAACCUGGGCUCCUCGCGGGCGCCGGGAGGGGAUGCUGAAGAGUCCGGGCCGGGGCCGCCGGGGCGAGGGCAGGGGCUCGGGGGGCAAUGAAGAUUGUAAAUGAAAUAAGAUGCGGGACACCAAAACCAGGAAGUAGAAAACGCUUUCAGGAUGUGUCGAGCAUUCCUUCCUGCCGUCACAUCAUGUUUGUGCUUUAAGUCAGUGGCUCCCAGCUGGUGGCUGAAUACACCCUCAGGACACCAGGUAAGUGGUCAGAGACGCUUUAUGUGCAUCACUCUGUAGACUGAAUAAUAAAAUGACUGGCCUAGAAAUGUACUUGGCCCAAAUGUACGUGUUUGUCGUUAACGAAUAAACUACAGAUGCAUUGGAAAGCUGUUCUGAAUUUAUACUCUCACUCUCUUCUAUGUAUCUCUUAAAUUGAUGAGUACAAAAAAUAUAGGUACCAUCUUACCCACGGAGGGAGCCAAAAACAAAAGAGAACCAGGUCUGUAGGGGACAUGAGAAGCUCUUCUUCAUACGUUUGGUAAAGCAAAUUCUCUCUCUCUCUUUAUUCUAGGAGACACAUAAUAAUUUCUUUGUUUCACUAUAUAUUAUAUGAUGCCCAAGAUGAAAUGGUGCCAGGGAUAAUUGGAUGCCUUCAUGGAUUUGUUUUAUCAUUUGGCUCUUGGAACCAGAAGUUCUAGGCAUACCUUCUCUGCCACUUUUUUAUACUUAAGGUAUUCACUUCUAUGCUCCAAGCCAAGAAGAGUUUUUCCAAUCCAUGCACACUGUGAGACCUGAGAUACCCAGGAUUGAGAUCUCUGCGGGAACUUCUAACAGUAAUGGACACUUACUAGUGGGUGCAUCUUGUCAGAAAUGCAAAUGUUGUGCACAAUGCCUCCAAAGGCUCUUCAGACAGAAUAAAUUUUCAUUCCCUAUGUUGCUCUACUUGCUUUCUAUACGCUGUCUUCUGCGGGGUAUUUUUUUAAGGGCCUUUAGUCUUGAAUUAUUACAGCGAGCAAGCUAGCAGAUG
rnacentral:lncRNA from 1 species